CGGCAACACGUUGCGAAACAAAACUACGCGCCUGCAACCCCGCUGGAUGGCCCCGCGGCCGGAAGAGCCACGUCGGCUCCGCCCACCUUUGUGUCGUGGGCGGGGCGUUUCCAACCGGCUGACGCGCACGCGCUGGGAGGCCCCGCCCCCCAUCCCGCCUCCCGCGAUAUCGUGUGGUCGGGCAUCAAGCUGUGGGGCGGUCGCCAGCUCGGUUCUUCGGGACCUUCGGGACAGGGCUGGGGAGCCCGCCCAAAAAGGUCGUUUCUCCUGCAGUUUCCAACAUGGCAGGCAAGUUUUAUAGACAUGGAUAAGAAGUCCAUACACAGAAGUCCUGAAGAUGCCGGGACCGGCAGAAAUGGAGGUAAACAUAGACCAAAGAAAAAAGAAGAGCGAAACCAAAAACACCACCAAUCCCGACAUAGAUCAUCAGCAUCUCAUUCUUCAGAUGACAAUGUGUUUCCUUCUUUUUCGUCAUCAUCUUCAGGAAGUCAGACCGAUUCAAGUAGUGAAGGACAAAAGAUGAAACAUCAAGAAAAAGAAAGAGAAGAAAAAAAGGAGGGAAUGGCCACAUGCUAUCACCUUUCCAAGAGGGGCUGAAACCAGGCUAAACUCGUUGAUUUCUGAAACUCAGUCCUUUGGUGUAAGGUGGCCAAACGAGAAUGCAGAGCCCAGCACGGUGAAAGCUACAGUGGAGGAGCUUGGGGACGGCACGUCUUUCACACCACGUCUAGACUCCUGACACCAAUCUUCACGUCCCCUGUAACCACACAAUAAAAAGUUGGGAAAUCACAUUGUGUUUAUGAAGAUCCACGUCCAACACCGGAGAGCCUGACGACAAGCCAGUUGUGGCCAUUUUAGGAUGCUUACCCUGUUUGCAAAUAUUCUGUAGGGAAGGAGGAGAUUGAGCCUACUUCUCUUAAAUGUAUGCCUAAUAAUUGCAACUAAAAUACUUACACCAAAGUCCUACACAAAGCAGAAGACUUACAGAUGGCAUGAAAAAGCUAAAGCCUUCCCAAGUUUCAUGUUUCUGUUUUUUACUAAUGUCCCCUUCUUUCAACAAGUGUUAUCAGUUUUCGUAAUCUCAGUGUUUGUUCUGGAGCCUGAUGUAAUGUUCUUUUACUCUUGUUACUCCAGGUACACUGAUGAUAAGUUUCCAACCAAAAGCUUUCAUCUCUAAAGAUGAUCACUUUGUUUAUAAAACAAGAAAGGAGAAAGCAGUUCCCCAGUCAGCCCUUGCUGUUGCCUCUAACGGUUUUACGCAUCGUUGGGCCUUUUGCUCGCUUGGGUUUGUGAGGGAAUGUGUGUCCAAUCUAACCAUGUCCUUGAUAGUUGCCUUUAAAAGAAGCUCCUGCUAGAAGUGAAUGAUGGCGACAGGGCUAGGUUUAUUGUUUUGAACUGGAAGUUGAGGUACUAUUAUUUUGUUAUUCAGGCAAAACUAAAAGAUUGAAAUUAAUCUUGAAUAGGGGCUGGCCCCACGCCCCGGUGGUUAAGUUUGGCGCUCUCUUCUUCUGUGGCCCAGAUUCAGCUCCUGGGUGCAGACCUACACCACUUGUCAGCAGCCGUGCUGUGGUGGUGACCCACGUACAAAAUAGAGGAAGAUCAGCACAGAUGUUAGCUCAGAGACAAUCUUCCUCACCAAAAAGUAAAUUAAAAUUAAAAAAUAAAUGAAUAAUCUUGAAUGCUGUUUUGUGCUGAAGUUAGAGUUUAAGAUGUUAUUCAUAUCACCGUAAUGUGGUGGUGUUACUGAAUGCCAUUCCUUGAAGGGUUUUUUCCCUUCAAAGUAAAAUUAUAAUAGGAUUGUAGUUAAAUUAAAUUAAGCAUCUUUAUCUUUGAUUAUAAAGAGAUUUAGCACAACUGUACAUUAUUUUUCCUCCUAUAUUGUGUUGGACUCCUAGUAUUUGUGUAUCAAGAAAGCAUUUCCUUAUAUUUGAAUGAUAACAUUUUAAAAACAUACCAGCAGAGGACAUAGGUUUUUUGCUUUUUGGUAUUUUUUUUUUUCAUUUUUGAUUUACUGAAGAAAUAAAGGCAUUUUAGUUUGCAAAUGGACUGUUUUCUUUUUUCCAGGAAAACUAAAAUUCACAAUUAUGGGAUAACCAUGGUCUCUUCAAGAGGACAAAAUAAAAUAUAGGCAUUAGACAUUAAAGUUAUUCCAAAACUUUGUUUUAAUUUGCGGAUUAACUAAAACAGUGAGCAUGCUCUCUGGAGGAGAGCAUAAGAGCAGUGGCAGG
rnacentral:lncRNA from 1 species